rnacentral:rRNA from 1 species
UUAAAUUGAAGAGUUUGAUCAUGGCUCAGAUUGAACGCUGGCGGCAGGCCUAACACAUGCAAGUCGAACGGUAACAGGAAGCAGCUUGCUGCUUCGCUGACGAGUGGCGGACGGGUGAGUAAUGUCUGGGAAACUGCCUGAUGGAGGGGGGAUAACUACUGGAAACGGUAGCUAAUACCGCAUAACGUCGCAAGACCAAAGAGGGGGACCUUAGGGCCUCUUGCCAUCGGAUGUGCCCAGAUGGGAUUAGCUAGUAGGUGGGGUAACGGCUCACCUAGGCGACGAUCCCUAGCUGGUCUGAGAGGAUGACCAGCCACACUGGAACUGAGACACGGUCCAGACUCCUACGGGAGGCAGCAGUGGGGAAUAUUGCACAAUGGGCGCAAGCCUGAUGCAGCCAUGCCGCGUGUAUGAAGAAGGCCUUCGGGUUGUAAAGUACUUUCAGCGGGGAGGAAGGGAGUAAAGUUAAUACCUUUGCUCAUUGACGUUACCCGCAGAAGAAGCACCGGCUAACUCCGUGCCAGCAGCCGCGGUAAUACGGAGGGUGCAAGCGUUAAUCGGAAUUACUGGGCGUAAAGCGCACGCAGGCGGUUUGUUAAGUCAGAUGUGAAAUCCCCGGGCUCAACCUGGGAACUGCAUCUGAUACUGGCAAGCUUGAGUCUCGUAGAGGGGGGUAGAAUUCCAGGUGUAGCGGUGAAAUGCGUAGAGAUCUGGAGGAAUACCGGUGGCGAAGGCGGCCCCCUGGACGAAGACUGACGCUCAGGUGCGAAAGCGUGGGGAGCAAACAGGAUUAGAUACCCUGGUAGUCCACGCCGUAAACGAUGUCGACUUGGAGGUUGUGCCCUUGAGGCGUGGCUUCCGGAGCUAACGCGUUAAGUCGACCGCCUGGGGAGUACGGCCGCAAGGUUAAAACUCAAAUGAAUUGACGGGGGCCCGCACAAGCGGUGGAGCAUGUGGUUUAAUUCGAUGCAACGCGAAGAACCUUACCUGGUCUUGACAUCCACGGAAGUUUUCAGAGAUGAGAAUGUGCCUUCGGGAACCGUGAGACAGGUGCUGCAUGGCUGUCGUCAGCUCGUGUUGUGAAAUGUUGGGUUAAGUCCCGCAACGAGCGCAACCCUUAUCCUUUGUUGCCAGCGGUCCGGCCGGGAACUCAAAGGAGACUGCCAGUGAUAAACUGGAGGAAGGUGGGGAUGACGUCAAGUCAUCAUGGCCCUUACGACCAGGGCUACACACGUGCUACAAUGGCGCAUACAAAGAGAAGCGACCUCGCGAGAGCAAGCGGACCUCAUAAAGUGCGUCGUAGUCCGGAUUGGAGUCUGCAACUCGACUCCAUGAAGUCGGAAUCGCUAGUAAUCGUGGAUCAGAAUGCCACGGUGAAUACGUUCCCGGGCCUUGUACACACCGCCCGUCACACCAUGGGAGUGGGUUGCAAAAGAAGUAGGUAGCUUAACCUUCGGGAGGGCGCUUACCACUUUGUGAUUCAUGACUGGGGUGAAGUCGUAACAAGGUAACCGUAGGGGAACCUGCGGUUGGAUCACCUCCUUACCUUAAAGAAGC